rnacentral:rRNA from 1 species
UUCAAUUUUAGUUGGAAGAUAAACGGAUAAUAGUUUUGGAAAUAGCUAAUGAAGGUGGAUUUAUUAGUAAUUAAAUUUGAUUAUUGUUUAAUGAGUAGUGGAAUAACAUAUGUACAUAUUGCCCGUCGCUCUCAUAAGAUUUGAGAUAAGUCGUAACAUAGUUGAUGUACUGGAAAGUAUAUCUUUUGU